rnacentral:rRNA from 1 species
UGCUUUGCUGACGAGUGGCGGACGGGUGAGUAAUGUCUGGGAAACUGCCUGAUGGAGGGGGAUAACUACUGGAAACGGUGGCUAAUACCGCAUAACGUCGCAAGACCAAAGAGGGGGACCUUCGGGCCUCUUGCCAUCAGAUGUGCCCAGAUGGGAUUAGCUUGUUGGUGAGGUAACGGCUCACCAAGGCGACGAUCCCUAGCUGGUCUGAGAGGAUGACCAGCCACACUGGAACUGAGACACGGUCCAGACUCCUACGGGAGGCAGCAGUGGGGAAUAUUGCACAAUGGGCGCAAGCCUGAUGCAGCCAUGCCGCGUGUAUGAAGAAGGCCUUCGGGUUGUAAAGUACUUUCAGCGGGGAGGAAGGUGUUGUGGUUAAUAACCGCAGCAAUUGACGUUACCCGCAGAAGAAGCACCGGCUAACUCCGUGCCAGCAGCCGCGGUAAUACGGAGGGUGCAAGCGUUAAUCGGAAUUACUGGGCGUAAAGCGCACGCAGGCGGUCUGUCAAGUCGGAUGUGAAAUCCCCGGGCUCAACCUGGGAACUGCAUUCGAAACUGGCAGGCUUGAGUCUUGUAGAGGGGGGUAGAAUUCCAGGUGUAGCGGUGAAAUGCGUAGAGAUCUGGAGGAAUACCGGUGGCGAAGGCGGCCCCCUGGACAAAGACUGACGCUCAGGUGCGAAAGCGUGGGGAGCAAACAGGAUUAGAUACCCUGGUAGUCCACGCCGUAAACGAUGUCUACUUGGAGGUUGUGCCCUUGAGGCGUGGCUUCCGGAGCUAACGCGUUAAGUAGACCGCCUGGGGAGUACGGCCGCAAGGUUAAAACUCAAAUGAAUUGACGGGGGCCCGCACAAGCGGUGGAGCAUGUGGUUUAAUUCGAUGCAACGCGAAGAACCUUACCUGGUCUUGACAUCCACAGAACUUUCCAGAGAUGGAUUGGUGCCUUCGGGAACUGUGAGACAGGUGCUGCAUGGCUGUCGUCAGCUCGUGUUGUGAAAUGUUGGGUUAAGUCCCGCAACGAGCGCAACCCUUAUCCUUUGUUGCCAGCGGUCCGGCCGGGAACUCAAAGGAGACUGCCAGUGAUAAACUGGAGGAAGGUGGGGAUGACGUCAAGUCAUCAUGGCCCUUACGACCAGGGCUACACACGUGCUACAAUGGCGCAUACAAAGAGAAGCGACCUCGCGAGAGCAAGCGGACCUCAUAAAGUGCGUCGUAGUCCGGAUUGGAGUCUGCAACUCGACUCCAUGAAGUCGGAAUCGCUAGUAAUCGUGGAUCAGAAUGCCACGGUGAAUACGUUCCCGGGCCUUGUACACACCGCCCGUCACACCAUGGGAGUGGGUUGCAAAAGAAGUAGGUAGCUUAACCUUCGGGGGGGCGCUUACCACUUUGUGAUUCAUGACUGGGGUGAAGUCGUAACAAGGUAACCGUAGGGGAACCUGCGGUUGGAUCACCUCCUUACCUUAAAGAAGC